GAUGAACGCUGGCGGCGUGCCUAAUACAUGCAAGUCGAGCGAACAGACGAGGAGCUUGCUCCUCUGACGUUAGCGGCGGACGGGUGAGUAACACGUGGAUAACCUACCUAUAAGACUGGGAUAACUUCGGGAAGCCGGAGCUAAUACCGGAUAAUAUAUUGAACCGCAUGGUUCAAUAGUGAAAGACGGUUUUGCUGUCACUUAUAGAUGGAUCCGCGCCGCAUUAGCUAGUUGGUAAGGUAACGGCUUACCAAGGCGACGAUGCGUAGCCGACCUGAGAGGGUGAUCGGCCACACUGGAACUGAGACACGGUCCAGACUCCUACGGGAGGCGGCAGUAGGGAAUCUUCCGCAAUGGGCGAAAGCCUGACGGAGCAACGCCGCGUGAGUGAUGAAGGUCUUCGGAUCGUAAAACUCUGUUAUUAGGGAAGAACAAAUGUGUAAGUAACUAUGCACGUCUUGACGGUACCUAAUCAGAAAGCCACGGCUAACUACGUG
rnacentral:rRNA from 1 species